AUUUGAUGAUGGGGGCAGCUUGCACAUAAUUUCUUGAAACAUUCCCAAUAUUCAUGUAGGGAGUCUCCAUUGUGUUGCCUUACACCACAAAUUUCUUUUCGGAUAUU
rfam:Citrus clementina cultivar Clemenules unplaced genomic scaffold scaffold_5, whole genome shotgun sequence.